CCUACGGGUGGCUGCAGUGAGGAAUAUUGGUCAAUGGGCGGGAGCCUGAACCAGCCAAGUCGCGUGAGGGACGACGGUCCUAUGGAUUGUAAACCUCUUUUGUCGGGGAACAAAGGCGCCCACGGGUGGGCGGAUGAGUGUACCCGAAGAAAAAGCAUCGGCUAACUCCGUGCCAGCAGCCGCGGUAAUACGGAGGAUGCGAGCGUUAUCCGGAUUUAUUGGGUUUAAAGGGUGCGUAGGCGGGAUGCCAAGUCAGCGGUAAAAAUGCGGUGCUCAACGCCGUCGAGCCGUUGAAACUGGCGUUCUUGAGUGGGCGAGAAGUAUGCGGAAGGCGUGGUGUAGCGGUGAAAUGCAUAGAUAUCACGCAGAACCCCGAUUGCGAAGGCAGCAUACCGGUGCACAACUGACGCUCAGGCACGAAAGCGUGGGUAUCGAACAGGAUUAGAUACCCUUGUAGUC
rnacentral:rRNA from 1 species